rnacentral:lncRNA from 1 species
UGCUAGUGUCUGUAGGGAGGAGGGGUGCGGUGGGCAGUCAGUAGUUCACAAAAGGAUUUCAUUAUGUAGAGACAAAAGACCAAAGUACAUCCCAAAUGGCUCCCUAUCAUGUAUAGUGCACUACUUAGAACCAGUGCACUAUAUAUAGAGAAUAGGGGGCACUACUUAGAACCAGUGCACUAUAUAGAGAAUAGAGUGCACUACUUAGAACCAGUGCACUAUAUAGAGAAUAGAGUGCACUACUUAGAACCAGUGCACUAUAUAUAGAGAAUAGAGUGCACUACUUAGAACCAGUAUAUAGAGAAUAGGGGGCAUUACUUAGAACCAGUGCACUAUAUAUAGAGAAUAGAGUGCACUACUUAGAACCAGUAUAUAGAGAAUAGGGGGCACUACUUAGAACCAGUGCACUAUAUAUAGAGAAUAGAGUGCACUACUUAGAACCAGUAUAUAGAGAAUAGGGUGCACUACUUAGAACCAGUGCACUAUAUAGAGAAUAGGGUGCACUACUUAGAACCAGUAUAUAGAGAAUAGAGGGCACUACUUAGAACCAGUGCACUAUAUAGAGAAUAGGGUGCACUACUUAGAACCAGUAUAUAGAGAAUAGGGGGCACUACUUAGAACCAGUGCGCUAUAUAUAGAGAAUAGGGGGCAUUACUUAGAACCAGUGCGCUAUAUAUAGAGAAUAGGGGGCAUUACUUAGAACCAGUGCACUAUAUAGAGAAUAGGGUGCACUACUUAGAACCACUAUAUAGAGAAUAGGGUGCACUACUUAGAACCAGUGCACUAUAUAGAGAAUAGGGUGCACUACUUAGAACCAGUAUAUAGAGAAUAGAGGGCACUACUUAGAACCAGUGCACUAUAUAGAGAAUAGGGUGCACUACUUAGAACCAGUAUAUAGAGAAUAGGGGGCACUACUUAGAACCAGUGCACUAUAUACAGAAUAGGGGGCACUACUUAGAACCAGUGCACUAUAUAGAGAAUAGAGUGCACUACUUAGAACCAGUAUAUAGAGAAUAGGGGGCACUACUUAGAACCAGUAUAUAGAGAAUAGGGGGCAUUACUUAGAACCAAACCAGUAUAUAGAGAAUAGAGUGCACUACUUAGAACCAGUAUAUAGAGAAUAGGGGGCACUACUUAGAACCACUAUAUACAGAAUAGGGGGCACUACUUAGAACCACUAUAUAGAGAAUAGAGUG